GAUGAACGCUGGCGGCGUGCCUAAUACAUGCAAGUCGAGCGAACAGACGAGGAGCUUGCUCCUCUGACGUUAGCGGCGGACGGGUGAGUAACACGUGGAUAACCUACCUAUAAGACUGGGAUAACUUCGGGAAACCGGAGCUAAUACCGGAUCAUAUAUUGAACCGCAUGGUUCAAUAGUGAAAGACGGUUUUGCUGUCACUUAUAGAUGGAUCCGCGCCGCAUUAGCUAGUUGGUAAGGUAACGGCUUACCAAGGCGACGAUGCGUAGCCGACCUGAGAGGGUGAUCAGCCACACUGGAACUGAGACACGGUCCAGACUCCUACGGGAGGCAGCAGUAGGGAAUCUUCCGCAAUGGGCGAAAGCCUGACGGAGCAACGCCGCGUGAGUGAUGAAGGUCUUCGGAUCGUAAAACUCUGUUAUUAGGGAAGAACAAAUGUGUAAGUAACUAUGCACGUCUUGACGGUACCUAAUCAGAAAGCCACGGCUAACUACGUG
rnacentral:rRNA from 1 species